AGAGUUUGAUCCUGGCUCAGGAUGAACGCUAGCUACAGGCUUAACACAUGCAAGUCGAGGGGAAACGACAUCGAAAGCUUGCUUCCGAUAGGCGUCGACCGGCGUACGGGUGAGUAACGCGUAUCCAACCUGCCCACCACUUGGGGAUAACCUUGCGAAAGUAAGACUAAUACCCAAUGACGUCUCUAGAAGACAUCUGAAAGAGAUUAAAGAUUUAUCGGUGAUGGAUGGGGAUGCGUCUGAUUAGCUUGUUGGCGGGGUAACGGCCCACCAAGGCGACGAUCAGUAGGGGUUCUGAGAGGAAGGCCCCCCCACAUUGGAACUGAGACACGGUCCAAACUCAUACGGGAGGCAGCA
rnacentral:rRNA from 1 species